CGCACACACGGACAGACAGACAGACAGACAGACACACAGGCAGCCAGGCCUUCCAGGUCUGCGUGCCAGGGCUCAGAGCCCAGUGUCAAUCACACUCGGGGCCCCGCCCACCCGGAAUCCCCCAGGCAGCUGGGCCAACUGCCACCCUGUGGGAGUGGGGAGAGGUCAGGCAGGGAGCUGGGCUGUCGCCAUGGAGACGACGGCCUGGGAGCCCCGCCCUGCCUGCCUGUCAGUCACCGAGGCUCCCGGCCCCGCCCCCUGUCAGUCACUGAGGCUCCGGGCCCCGCCCCCUGUCAGCUCAGGGAGAGAGCCUGGCGUCAGGAUGGAGGCGCAGCGUCCCACAGACAGCGUCCAGAGCCACCUCCCCGCGUGCCGUUGCCCCCGCGCGGCCAUUGUCUCGGGGCGGGACUGAGCGACAGGACGCGGCACGGCGUGGGACAGACAGUCACGGCGUCAGGACGGGCGACCUGGGCGCGACCCCGAGCGCGCGGCCCGAGAACACGGCGCUCAGCGCGACUGUGUGGCCGUCUCGGGCCUCCCUCCCCCAAGUGACCGACGCCCUCACUCCCGUCCCCGGGUCCCGGUCUCACGCGGGAGCACGCGGAGACCCGGCCCAGUGUGUGUGUCACAACUGUGUGACUGUGUGAGGCAGGGGCAUGACUGUGAGUGAUUUUCUGAGGCGCGGGAGCACGCGGAGACCCGGCGUCAAACGCACGCGGGAGCCCGCGCUCCGGUUCCCGCCGGUCGGCCAUGAGAGGAGAGGCAGGCGGGCUCCCGGCGCGCGCUCAGACGUCCGCGCGUGUGCGGGUUCCACGUGGAAACUGUCGCCCGCGGGACCCGGCCCGCCCGCUGUCUGUGCCGUCGCGGCGUCUCCGAGGCUGGGGAGUGACAUCGUGGGGUCGUGGGGGCCUCGUGGCCCCAUCUGGAGCCACCUGUGUUCCUCGUAUUCUGAGCCCCGUUUAUCCCCUCGCCAUGUUAAAAGUCCCCAGAGCAGAGAUCCCGCUCCCCCACCCGAGCCCCCGUGGCCGCAGGCGCUAUGGGAGAGUUGUAGAGAGACGGACCUGCCACAGCCUGGGCACUUAGCCGCGGAUGGACCUGCCACAGCCUGGGCACGCAGCCGCGGGGUGGGGUGGGUGGCCGCCCUGAUUUCACGACUGAGACGAAUAAAUGAAAUAAAGAGCGCUGGCGGCCCCGAUCUGAUUACGUCACGCGUUUCCUGGUCGUUCAUAAUUUGUGCAGCAGAGGGUUGAGGCAGGGGGAUGACUCUGAGUGACUGCUGCGGGUGAGGCACGGGUAGGACCGCGAGUAACUGUGAGGCAGGGGAAUGACGCUAAGUGACUGUCUGAGGCAGGGGCAUGACUAUGAGUGACUGCUGCGGGUGAGGCACGGGUAGGACCGCGAGUAACUGUGAGGCAGGGGAAUGACGCUAAGUGACUGUCUGAGGCAGGGGGAUGGCUAUGAGUGACUGCUGCGUGCCGCCACCGUCUCCGGGAGCUCCCGCGUGAGCGAGUCAGUCCCCUGGUGUCUGGAAGUGCGUCCUCCAUGUCCGUCCCCCUCCCCGGCUCGUCCCGUCUCUGCCCCCCCCCCUUCCGCACGGUUCUCUGAGCCUCGAGAGGAGGACGGGCGGCGUCCACGGAGACGUCUUCUCAGGACCCCGUGCUCCCCAGUCUCUCCCUCCGCCGCGCCUGGUCAGGUUGCGGGUAGCCAGGGGGGUGACUGUAAGUGAUUUUCUAAGGCAGGGGGAUGACUGUGAGUGUGUUUCUGAGGCUGAGUGAGUGUGUGAGGCAGGGGCAUGAUGCUGGGUGAGGCAGGGGGUUGACUGUAAGUUUCUGAGGCAGGGCAGGGCAUGGUGGUGCCCGGACAUCAUUAAUCCCAGCCCUCGGGAGUCAGAGGCAGGGG